ACGGAGGGGGCUAGCGUUGUUCGGAAUUACUGGGCGUAAAGCGCACGUAGGCGGACUGGAAAGUCAGAGGUGAAAUCCCAGGGCUCAACCUUGGAACUGCCUUUGAAACUAUCAGUCUGGGGUCCGAGAGAGGUGAGUGGAAUUCCGAGUGUAGAGGUGAAAUUCGUAGAUAUUCGGAGGAACACCAGUGGCGAAGGCGGCUCACUGGCUCGGUACUGACGCUGAGGUGCGAAAGCGUGGGGAGCAAACAGG
rnacentral:rRNA from 1 species